GCCGCGCGCACGUGUUGGAAGAGGAACUGAGGCUGGCCCGGUAACCAAGAGCACGUUGAGGCUUGUGUUCUGUUCUAUUUCUGUGUUCCAACCAGUUGCUUGCCAUCAAGGAAGUUUCACUCGGUUCUGUGGAUCCCCUCCUGCAGGAGUCAAAGGCGAGCUUUUGUAGAGUUCAG